rnacentral:rRNA from 1 species
CAAGUCGAGCGCUUCACUUCGGUGAGGAGCGGCGGACGGGUUAGUAACGCGUGGGAACAUACCCUUUUCUAAGGAAUAGCCACUGGAAACGGUGAGUAAUACCUUAUACGCCCUUCGGGGGAAAGAUUUAUCGGUGAAGGAUUGGCCCGCGUUAGAUUAGAUAGUUGGUGGGGUAACGGCCUACCAAGUCGACGAUCUAUAGCUGGUUUGAGAGGAUGAUCAGCAACACUGGGACUGAGACACGGCCCAG